AAUCUUCCGCAAGGGACGAAAGUCUGACGGCGCAACGCCGCGUGAGUGAUGAAGGUUUUCGGAUCGUAAAACUCUGUUGUUAGGGAAGAACAAGUAUCGGAAUAACUGCCGGUACCUUGACGGUACCUAACUAGAAAGCCACGGCUAACUACGUUCCAGCAGCCGCGGUAAUACGUAGGUGGCAAGCGUUGUCCGGAAUUAUUGGGCGUAAAGCGCGCGCAGGCGGUCUUUUAAGUCUGAUGUGAAAGCCCCCGGCUCAACCGGGGAGGGUCAUUGGAAACUGGGAGACUUGAGUGCAGAAGAGAAGAGUGGAAUUCCACGUGUAGCGGUGAAAUGCGUAGAGAUGUGGAGGAACACCAGUGGCGAAGGCGACUCUUUGGUCUGUAACUGACGCUGAGGCGCGAAAGCGUGGGGAGCAAACAGG
rnacentral:rRNA from 1 species